ACCUGGCUGACUCAGUGGGAGAGCAUGGGACUCUUGAUCUCGGGGUUGUGAGUUCAAACCCCAUGUUGGGUG
rnacentral:tRNA from 1 species